rnacentral:rRNA from 1 species
UGCNAGUCGANCGGAGGGNCCUUCGGGGUACUCGAGUGGCGAACGGGUGAGUAACACGUGGGUGAUCUGCCCUGCACUUUGGGAUAAGCCUGGGAAACUGGGUCUAAUACCGAAUAUGACCACGCGCUUCAUGGUGUGUGGUGGAAAGCUUUUGCGGUGUGGGAUGGGCCCGCGGCCUAUCAGCUUGUUGGUGGGGUAAUGGCCUACCAAGGCGACGACGGGUAGCCGGCCUGAGAGGGUGACCGGCCACACUGGGACUGAGAUACGGCCCAGACUCCUACGGGAGGCAGCAGUGGGGAAUAUUGCACAAUGGGCGCAAGCCUGAUGCAGCGACGCCGCGUGAGGGAUGACGGCCUUCGGGUUGUAAACCUCUUUCACCAGGGACGAAGCGCAAGUGACGGUACCUGGAGAAGAAGCACCGGCCAACUACGUGCCAGCAGCCGCGGUAAUACGUAGGGUGCGAGCGUUGUCCGGAAUUACUGGGCGUAAAGAGCUCGUAGGUGGUUUGUCGCGUUGUUCGUGAAAACUCACAGCUUAACUGUGGGCGUGCGGGCGAUACGGGCAGACUAGAGUACUGCAGGGGAGACUGGAAUUCCUGGUGUAGCGGUGGAAUGCGCAGAUAUCAGGAGGAACACCGGUGGCGAAGGCGGGUCUCUGGGCAGUAACUGACGCUGAGGAGCGAAAGCGUGGGGAGCGAACAGGAUUAGAUACCCUGGUAGUCCACGCCGUAAACGGUGGGUACUAGGUGUGGGUUCCUUCCUUGGGAUCCGUGCCGUAGCUAACGCAUUAAGUACCCCGCCUGGGGAGUACGGCCGCAAGGCUAAAACUCAAAGGAAUUGACGGGGGCCCGCACAAGCGGCGGAGCAUGUGGAUUAAUUCGAUGCAACGCGAAGAACCUUACCUGGGUUUGACAUGCACAGGACGCCGGCAGAGAUGUCGGUUCCCUUGUGGCCUGUGUGCAGGUGGUGCAUGGCUGUCGUCAGCUCGUGUCGUGAGAUGUUGGGUUAAGUCCCGCAACGAGCGCAACCCUUGUCCUAUGUUGCCAGCGGGUUAUGCCGGGGACUCGUAGGAGACUGCCGGGGUCAACUCGGAGGAAGGUGGGGAUGACGUCAAGUCAUCAUGCCCCUUAUGUCCAGGGCUUCACACAUGCUACAAUGGCCGGUACAAAGGGCUGCGAUGCCGUGAGGUGGAGCGAAUCCUUUCAAAGCCGGUCUCAGUUCGGAUCGGGGUCUGCAACUCGACCCCGUGAAGUCGGAGUCGCUAGUAAUCGCAGAUCAGCAACGCUGCGGUGAAUACGUUCCCGGGCCUUGUACACACCGCCCGUCACGUCAUGAAAGUCGGUAACACCCGAAGCCGGUGGCCUAACCCUU